rnacentral:tRNA from 1 species
GCCACCGUAGCUCAGACGGCAGAGCAAGCGUUUCGUAAACGUUAGGUCAAGGGUUCAAUUCCCUUCGGUGGCUCAA